UGGUUUUCGGAUGAAUUCAAAGAUGACUGUCUAUACAGAGUGGGGAGCAAACUGAAGAAAUGAGGCACACACAGGGCCGUUUUCCCCUACGGUGGUCCCUCAAGGGCAUCAGAGCUGAUCUGCCUUCUGUUCCUGGCUGUCUGACCUGUGGCAUCGAAGCUCCAACUUGAGAAGCAAAGACCAGAGUUUCCCAAGAGUGCUUAACCAGCUCCCACAAGAGACAGAGUGAGAGGCGGAGGGGCAGAGAGGGAAG